UAGACGGGGCCCGGCACAAGCGGUGGAGCAUGUGUUAAUUCGAAGCAACGCGAAGAACCUUACCAGGCCUUGACAUGCAGAGAACUUUCCAGAGAUGGAUUGGUGCCUUCGGGAACUCUGACACAGGUGCUGCAUGGCUGUCGUCAGCUCGUGUCGUGAGAUGUUGGGUUAAGUCCGUAACGAGCGCAACCCUUGUCCUUAGUUACCAGCACGUUAUGGUGGGCACUCUAAGGAGACUGCCGGUGACAAACCGGAGGAAGGUAGGGAUGACGUCAAGUCAUCAUGGCCCUUACGGCCUGGGCUACACACGUGCUACAAUGGUCGGUACAAAGGGUUGCCAAGCCGCGAGGUGGAGCUAAUCCCAUAAAACCGAUCGUAGUCCGGAUCGCAGUCUGCAACUCGACUGCGUGAAGUCGGAAUCGCUAGUAAUCGUGAAUCAGAAUGUCACGGUGAAUACGUUCCCGGGCCUU
rnacentral:rRNA from 1 species